rnacentral:rRNA from 1 species
AUACGUAGGUGGCAAGCGUUAUCCGGAAUUAUUGGGCGUAAAGAGGGAGCAGGCGGCAGCAAGGGUCUGUGGUGAAAGCCUGAAGCUUAACUUCAGUAAGCCAUAGAAACCAGGCAGCUAGAGUGCAGGAGAGGAUCGUGGAAUUCCACGUGUAGCGGUGAAAUGCGUAGAUAUAUGGAGGGACACCAGUGGCGAAGGCGGCGAUCUGGCCUGCAACUGACGCUCAGUCCCGAAAGCGUGGGGAGCAAAAAGAUUUAGAUGCCCUAGUAGUCCACGCCGUAAACGAUGAGUACUAAGUGUUGGAUGUCAAAGUUCAGUGCUGCAGUUAACGCAAUAAGUACUCCGCCUGAGUAGUACGUUCGCAAGAAUGAAACUCAAAUGAAUUGACGGGG